rnacentral:rRNA from 1 species
UACGGAGGGUGCAAGCGUUGUCCGGAAUUAUUGGGCGUAAAGCGCGCGCAGGCGGCCUUUUAAGUCUGAUGUGAAAGCCCACGGCUCAACCGUGGAAGGUCAUUGGAAACUGAAAGGCUUGAGUACAGAAGAGGAAAGCGGAAUUCCACGUGUAGCGGUGAAAUGCGUAGAGAUGUGGAGGAACACCAGUGGCGAAGGCGGCUUUCUGGUCUGUAACUGACGCUGAGGCGCGAAAGCGUGGGGAGCAAACAGG